CAGCGACCCAUCCUUGUCCAUCACGACCACAGCCUAAAACCCUGUCCCCUCUCUCUCCCUAAAGCCCUCCUCUCCUCCCGAAUUAGGGCUUUUCCCGCAUUUUCACUCUCUUCUCUACUGAAAGAGAGAGAGAGAGAGAGAGCAUUCUCUGAUUCUGGUUCUAGGGUUUUAUCAUUCAAUUCAACAAUGGUGUCCCCUAAGCUACUCCUUUCCACCAUCGAGUCUUCCCUCCUCGGCCCAACCUCUCCUUCUCCCUCUCAAAGGAUCGAGCUCAUGCACGCCAUUCGCCACUCUCUCCCCUCUCUCCAAUCCCUCAUCUCUUACCUUCCUCCAAAACAGUCAGACCGUGCUCAAGUCCAGUCCAGAGAAGUCAGGCUUCCGGAUUCUUCCCCAAUUUCACUUGAUGAGCAGGAUGUUCAGAUUUAUAUAUGUUGAGCAACAGUGGACUUGCUUCUUGUGAGUUAGAAUAUCUGCAAGGAGACAUCAAAUGGACCGGAAUCUCAAUUGAAGGGAUGUUCAUCCAUCAUUCAUUUCGUGCUGGAUUCCAUUACCUUCAGGAAGGCUCCUAAUAUGCUUUACUGUGACAUUUCUUCCUUUCAGCCAAUGGAAAUUUAUGUUGAUAACGAGGCGAAAUUGACCCUUCAUGGUCUUGUACAGGUUUUCCCCUUUUCUGACAUCUGUGGUCGUUAGUUCUUCCUUAACUUCAUCUCUGUUAAGAUGCUGAGCAUUUUUUACUUCCAUCCGGUCAGGCUGAGGAUCUCCUUCACCGUUUUUUGAUUUUCUUAGUGCUCCACCCAAGGUGAUACUCUUCUUUGACUCUAGUAAUUUCGCUAU